rnacentral:rRNA from 1 species
GAUGAACGCUGGCGGCGUGCUUAACACAUGCAAGUCGAACGGAAAGGCCCAAGCUUGCUUGGGUACUCGAGUGGCGAACGGGUGAGUAACACGUGGGUGAUCUGCCCUGCACUUCGGGAUAAGCCUGGGAAACUGGGUCUAAUACCGGAUAGGACCACAUUUUGGAUGGUGUGGUGGAAAGUUUUUCGGUGUGGGAUGAGCUCGCGGCCUAUCAGCUUGUUGGUGGGGUAAUGGCCUACCAAGGCGUCGACGGGUAGCCGGCCUGAGAGGGUGUACGGCCACAUUGGGACUGAGAUACGGCCCAGACUCCUACGGGAGGCAGCAGUGGGGAAUAUUGCACAAUGGGCGCAAGCCUGAUGCAGCGACGCCGCGUGGGGGAUGACGGCCUUCUGGUUGUAAACUCCUUUCGCUAGGGACGAAGCGCAAGUGACGGUACCUGGAGAAGAAGCACCGGCUAACUACGUG